UUCAGAUACUUCUGCCCAGUCCGGAUCCAGCCUGUAGGUAGAGGCCUGUGUGUUCACCACCGAGAGAUGGCGUCAGGGUUGCUCACGUGAUGGUCCAGACUUAAAUACGAGACACAACCUGACAAUGUCCUGCACAUCACUUCCGUGUUCCUACCCAAAGUGAGCAAACCGAAUCUAAUCGCAGCGGCAGGGGGAAAUCCACAAAAUAAGAUGUGCUCCCCAAAACGCACACGUCAAGAAAGUGAGAGAGGACAGAACAAACAAAGAGGACGACAGGAGUGCAAGAGACGUGCCAUCUUGUGUAAGGUGCCAUCCAGACCAGGUCCCGGACUGCAAGGACUUCAGUGGGAAAACUGGAAAAUUCAAAUACAUUCUCACAGUUAUUAAUGUUC